rnacentral:rRNA from 1 species
UACGGAGGGGGCUAGCGUUGUUCGGAAUUACUGGGCGUAAAGCGCACGUAGGCGGCUUUGUAAGUUAGAGGUGAAAGCCCGAGGCUCAACCCCGGAAUAGCCUUUAAGACUGCAUCGCUUGAACACGGGAGAGGUGAGUGGAAUUCCGAGUGUAGAGGUGAAAUUCGUAGAUAUUCGGAAGAACACCAGUGGCGAAGGCGGCUCACUGGACCGUUGUUGACGCUGAGGUGCGAAAGCGUGGGGAGCAAACAGG